ensembl:lncRNA
GAAGUCUGCAAAAGGUGGUUUGCAAGAAUCAACACCCUGUGAUUCACAGCGCAGUAGAGGAGGAACAGGGGCUGGAUGAGGGAAAAGAGCAACUCACCAGCACACAGAGGGUUCCUGUGAACACCUCGGUUGAGAUUACAUCCUGAACUACCACACAGUAUACAAUCAGUGAAUGUAUAAUCGUCUCUGCUGCUGCUGCUGCUAAGUCGCUUCAGUCGUGUCAGACUCUGUGCAACCCCACAGACGGCAGCCCACCAGGCUCCCCCAUCCCUGGGAUUCUCCAGAUAUGCGCCCAGGAGUGGGAUUGCUGGAUCAUAUGAUGUAACUGUCAGAAUGAAAACCCAUUGCCAACUCCCUCAGGCUUGCUGAUAUAGAUUUAACUGCAAUAGGCAUUGGUUGGGAUGUUUAUAUUAAAGGAAAUCAACCCUGAAUAUUCAUUGGAAGGACUGAUCCUGAAGCUGAAACUCCAAUACUCUGGCCAUCUGAUGCAAAGAGCCAAUUCAUUGGAAAAGACCCUGAUGCUGGGAAAGAUUGAGGGCAAGAGGAGAAGAGGGAAACAGAGGAUGAGAUGGUUGAAUGGUAUCACUGACUCAAUGGACAUGAGUUUGAGCAAAUUCCAGGAGAUGGUGAAGGAUAGGGAAACUUUUGCCUGGAGAAUCCCAGGAACGGGGGAACCUGGUGGGCUGCCAUCUAUGGGGUCACACAGAGUCGGACACGACUGAAGUGACUUAGCAGUAGCAGGGAAACUUUGUGUCCGUGGGGAAACUACAGUCCAUGGGGUCACAAAGAGUUGGACACGACUUAAUGACUGAACAACAACAACGACAAAGAAUAUAACCCUGAGAACCCAGAAAAGCUGGAUUCAAAUACUGUCUCUGCUAUUUGAACUAUAUAAUCAUGAUAGAGAUGAAUAAUCUCUCUGAAUUUAUUCCUUCUUCAAACAGGAACUAGAGCUAUACACAUAUUUUCAAGGGAAUUUAAAACAAAUUAUUUAUGAAAUGUUUAGUAAACUGUUCUUCCUCUUCUUCUAAGUUGCUUCAGUUUUGUCCGACUCUGUGCAACCUCAUAGACGGCAGCCCACCAGGCUCCGCCGUCCCUGGGAUUCUCCAGGCCAGAACAC